GAUGAACGCUGGCGGCGUGCCUAAUACAUGCAAGUCGAGCGAACAGACGAGGAGCUUACUCCUCUGACGUUAGCGGCGGACGGGUGAGUAACACGUGGAUAACCUACCUAUAAGACUGGGAUAACUUCGGGAAACCGGAGCUAAUACCGGAUAACAUGUUGAACCGCAUGGUUCAACAGUGAAAGACGGUCUUGCUGUCACUUAUAGAUGGAUCCGCGUCGCAUUAGCUAGUUGGUAAGGUAACGGCUUACCAAGGCAACGAUGCGUAGCCGACCUGAGAGGGUGAUCGGCCACACUGGAACUGAGACACGGUCCAGGCUCCUACGGGAGGCAGCAGUAGGGAAUCGUCCGCAAUGGGCGAAAGCCUGACGGAGCAACGCCGCGUGAGUGAAGAAGGUCUUCGGAUCGUAAAACUCUGUUAUUAGGGAAGAACAAAUGUGUAAGUAACUAUGCACGUCUUGACGGUACCUAAUCAGAAAGCCACGGCUAACUACGUG
rnacentral:rRNA from 1 species